UGGGGAAUAUUGGACAAUGGGCGAAAGCCUGAUCCAGCCAUGCCGCGUGUGUGAAGAAGGUCUUCGGAUUGUAAAGCACUUUAAGUUGGGAGGAAGGGCAGUAAAUUAAUACUUUGCUGUUUUGACGUUACCGACAGAAUAAGCACCGGCUAACUCUGUGCCAGCAGCCGCGGUAAUACAGAGGGUGCAAGCGUUAAUCGGAAUUACUGGGCGUAAAGCGCGCGUAGGUGGUUCGUUAAGUUGGAUGUGAAAUCCCCGGGCUCAACCUGGGAACUGCAUUCAAAACUGACGAGCUAGAGUAUGGUAGAGGGUGGUGGAAUUUCCUGUGUAGCGGUGAAAUGCGUAGAUAUAGGAAGGAACACCAGUGGCGAAGGCGACCACCUGGACUGAUACUGACACUGAGGUGCGAAAGCGUGGGGG
rnacentral:rRNA from 1 species